CGACGUCAUCGUUUCUAGAUUUCUCCGAGACAACUGUUUGAAUGUCUCCUUCCUCCAUUGUUGUUCAUUGUAAGGACAGCGACACUUAGCUGCAAACUAUUGCAAGUUUCAGACCCAGGGGGCAGUCCGUGACCUCAGUAGUGCUGAUGGUUGUAGCAGACGGUUGACCACUUGAAGGGUGGCCAGUGACGGCGACUGCAGUCUUUCCAGGUCGACAACAUUUUUUUAAGGGCUUCAUGAAUAUCCCUGCAUCUUCAGACAAACGAAGAAGGACCCGAUGUUGUGAUGUAGUCAAGGGUGACCAUAGACACCAAGUGUUGUGGUCGACCUGUCCAGCCUGCAGACGUCAAACAUCAAAGGCUGUGUGUACUGGCACGUGAAUGUCUACAAACUCUGUCUAGGAAAACAUUUGCUCCGUCGACAGUGUCUAUGUUUAUUUGACUGUUAGGUAUCAUCUUUAUCUGGUUCUUCUUCCUCUAACACUUAACACCUUUAACUUCCAUCAUGACCAUUGAAUAUUUUUUUAGACGGCGUAACACUCGAUAAACAAAUAGCUUGCUCUGAGGGUAAUACUCGCACCCUGGAUUUUAAGAUUUCCUACAGGCCGAACUGAGAGGUUAGCAGGCAUUAUUAAUCCUGUCGGUAUUGUACAAGAUCACAGGACGCAAAGUAUGUCUACUUAAAAGACGAUGUUUCUCAGGUUAAGAAGGAUAAAAGUACUAGCUCGGUCCUUUUGCUCCCUUUCAGUCUUUAUUGUGAUUCUUUAUUAUGUAUUAUUUGUUUCAAAAGAGCUUGACGCGGCAAGAACAGAGCCUUGUUUCGAAAAAGCACUAAGGACAACGAACUAACCCCUCAAACAUGCGUACAUCCCGAUCUUAACCCCUUCAACCCGACAAUCAUACAAUUCCAUAAAAAGUACCCACCCGUGGAUUGUAGCCCCGCCGAGGAAGACUGGGUGUACACCAUCAACGGCACGUUUCGCAUCUCAGAGCGCGCACGUCAACUGUACGGGAAGGUCACGUGCGAGUACAUCCCACUCGAGCGUCCAGACGACUUCUCCGUCCGUGAAGGUCUGCAUGUCAAGCCCAUGCUGGACGGUGCACCGCUAACAACGGACUUCUUCAAGGUGGACUGCGUGUCAAGCACCGGAAAAAGAUACGUGAACAUCCACUGUGGAGUGGCAAGGAACGACGCCGUCUUCUCUCGGCUGAAGGAAAUGGCCGCAAAGAAAAAUAUUUACGGUCCUCUCUACCGUCUUUGGGAAACACCUUGUCAUUCCGCACGCAGACAUCGAAACCAGAUUCUGUUUCGUCGUCCCACUCCCUCAUUCCAAGAGUCUGCCUGGCCUCAACUUGAGUGUGUUUAUUUUGGGGUUCGAUUCCAUGUCUCGCAUGUCCUGGAUUCGUUUGCUUCCACGCUCACGUGCGUACUUUCUGAAUAAACUUGGUGGCAUUGAACUCGAAGGUUACAACAUCGUGGGCGAUGGGACGCCGGCCGCUUUGCUCCCCAUAUUAACGGGUUUCCACGAAGAGGAACUGCCAGAAGCGCGACGGGGCAUGCCCAAUGCACGUCCGGUUGACGGACACCCAUGGGUGUGGAAAGAGUUCGAGAGUCAUGGUUACGUGACGGCGUAUGCAGAAGAUAUGCCAGGUCUUGGAGCCUUUCACUAUCGCAUGCUCGGCUUCAAAGAACAGCCCGCCGACCACAACAUGAGGCUGUUCUUCUUGGCAGCUCAGAAAAUGUUCAGUAAAAGUGCAAGUAACUGUCUGGGCUCUACACCACGUCACCGUAUCUUCAUGCGCUGGUUCGAGGAUUUGUUUGCUACUUAUACGAGCCACCCUAAGUUCUUCUUUGGAUUUCAUGGUGAGAUGAGUCACGACGACAACAAUCCUAUACAGACCAUCGAUGAGGAUCUGAUGUUAUUUCUUGAAAGACUAGACAAGAGUGGUCACCUCAAUUCCACUCUUCUCAUUCUCAUGGCUGACCAUGGAGCCAGAUUCUCUUACAUGAGAGCCACAAAGCAGGGAAAGCUAGAAGAGCGCAUGCCUUAUUUUUCCUUCCGUUUUCCGCCAUGGGUCAAACAAGUUCAUCCUCAGCUUAUCCGCAACAUGGAGAUAAACACCAAGAGGCUGACGACGCCGUUUGACAUUCACGAGACCCUGCUGGAGGUGCUGACUUAUAGCGGGUCAGGGUUGGGGGACAUCUCCAAGAGAGCCAUCAGCCUUUUCAAGGAAAUUCCAAAACAUCGGAGCUGCAACCACGCUGGGGUGACUCCUCAUUGGUGUGCCUGCCUGAAGUGGGACACCCUUAAUAAGACUGACUUUAUCGUGUUGUCGGCCGUGAAGUCGACAGUAAGUGUGAUCAACUCGUACACAAAGUCCAACCGAAAGACAUGCGCACUGCUCCGCCUAAAGAACAUAACUUCCGCAGUACGGUACGUUCCCACGUACGAAGACUACGUGGCCGAGCACAAACUGCGGCAGUACAUACAAAGUUUUAGUCAGCAUAGGGAACGGGACUAUCUAGAUGUAAAUCAAGAAGUCUAUCAGGUGUCCUUCAUCACUCAGCCAGGAAACGGCCAUUUUGAAGUGACGUGCACUCUGGAUACAUCUACAGGAAAGUUCAUAGUAGCGAGCACCGACAUCAGCAGAGUCAACAGGUAUGGAAAGGACGCGGACUGCAUUGUAAAGACUUCUCCCCACCUCGGUCCUUAUUGCUAUUGUAAACCAGGUGCAGGAACGGUUUGAGAGGAGUUUCUAAGUUUUUAUAUACAUUUAAGAUUGUGGUGACUUUAGGAAACUUUUGCGCUAUAUAUUUAUAUUACAUUUAUAUUACUUUAUCAUAGCUUUUUAUCACUGUAUGUUGUAUACAUUUUGUGCAAGUUGGAAGUAGUUAAAAGUUUUUUGAUAACUAUUAUUAACAAGAGCGGUGAUUUAAUAUGAGUCCAUAAAAGACAGUACUUUAAAGACACAAUUGUCUCCUACAGUAAAACACAUUUCAUUGCUAGUAAUCAAGCUAGUGUCGUAGCUAUGUCACGUGACCUAACGGGAUUCAUCUCUACCUGUGGUUGCUGCUGAGGUUGGCCGCCGCCGUGUAAGCAUCCCUCGUUCUUUGCGACCUUUCUUGAACUGUGCAAACAUCUGGAUGGACACACCGCGGUGUGAAUGUGUACACGUCCGGCGGUGACAUACGAGCGUGUGAACAGGUCGACAAACAAUGCGGCGGUUGACAGACAACCGGAGGUAAACUGUAGCAUCACAGACAGGCGGUGGAAACCAGGGCAACCGAGCGCCGCGCACAGCCAGCGCAGCAUCUCUACAGGCGCCAGCUUCUAUUCUGGUGUCGGCAUCCCCCUCCUCCCCACCUUCUGUACCUCCGCUAGCUUCGUGCGGUGGUUCGCUCUUGCCAGCACGUAAAACCCUCGAGAGCAUUCUCCGCCGAGCCUCGUCGUCUGCAUCUUUUCAGUCUUCUGUUGGAAGCCACGCAACGGGCAAACUGCUGUCUGCAUUUUACAUUUUCUCUUUUUCUGUCUUCCACACCAGCGUUUUUGGUGUCCGCCUCGGGAAUAAAAUAUUUGUGCAAGCGAAUGAACUUAUCAACGAAUGAAAGUACCACCUGCAUGGAAAUGUAGCCACCGCUACCCCUCCAAGUAAAAAUUACCUGCAGGUUAAGGGUGAAGGCUGCAGAAGGAGAAGAAACAGACUGCCGAGAGGUUAAGUGAACAAGUCAGGCGUGUCUGUGAGAUAACGCGCAGGCUCGCAGGUUCCAGAGCCUGAUGCUGGAAGAACAAGAAAUGGAUGAUGCAUGCUGCUGACAUUGAAGCUCCGGAUGCUAGUGUACAUAGAAAAGAAAACACAGAGCUGUACAGAGAUCAGACUUGCAGAAGCAAGAUGCCUUCGUCAGGUGACGUCGGUGCAGAUGCAUCGAACGAACAUCGCAGUGACGUGCAGCCCGUGUCCGCGCGCGCAUCACAUUCCGCCAGCCUCCGCCAAGGGUCGCAAGGAGCACGACGGUGCGUUCGUUAGUGCACGUGGACUGGCAUCCCGAAUCUGGCAAACUCCUGUUUCAGUGAGUGUUGCGCUGCUUGGCACCUGAGACAGAUCAGAUGCAGCGAAUUCUAAAAGCCUUUCGGAGUCUUCCCCAUCAACGAUUGGAAGCAGCUUCAGCGGCUUCACGACCGUGACUACAUCCUGGUCCUCAUAAACUUUAACCCGAUCUUCCGUCUCUAAGCGGCGGCGCA
rnacentral:misc_RNA from 1 species